rnacentral:lncRNA from 1 species
CUGAUUGAUUAAAAAUAAACUGAGAGUCUAAUUCUCUCUUCACAAUUUAUUAUAACUAUACCAGUGAUAAUGAGCAACAAGGUGGUUAGAGUUCUGGGCAUGAAGUCAGGAAGAAUCAACUUCAAGGUCAAAACUGGCCUCAGAUACUAGCUGUGUAUCUCUAGGGGAGUCACUUUAACCCUUUCCCCCUCAGUUCCUCAUCUGUAAAAAUAAGCUGAAGAAGGAAAUGUUAAUCUACUCCAAUACCUUUACCAAGAAAACCCCAAUCAGGGUCUUGAAUAAUAGGGCACUUAGGCAAAAAACACACUCCUGAUUUAUUAAUAUGUUCUAACUGGAUUGCACUCUUCCCAAUUCUUUCUUCAUCUGUGGAGUAUCCUUGCCCCAUAACCAUUCCUUCAAUGAGUAUGUUAAGCUCCUAACCCUGGGGAUACAAAAAAGAGGCAUAAAACAGCCCCUGACUUCAAGGAGACUUCAGUCUAACGGAUUAAGGGAAUACUUUUGCAAAAUGGAAAACCAGGAUUAGGGUCUGAAUCAGACUGAGGGCUUCAAUUCUCCCAUUCAGACAAAUCUGCAAGACUAGACUUCUCAAAGACAACCACCCCUAUCGCCAGGCACCGGCUACACAUGCGCGUCAAAGCAAGCAAAGCCUUGCUGAGGGAGGUGAGUAGUCCUCCGAAUCUCCUAGAGAGUAACAGGAAGUGCCACAGAGAGGAAAAGUGUGUGGGAAGACCAAGCUUCCCGUCUGGCCUUCUUUAACUCUUCUGUUCAGCUGUGUUCCAAAGCGUCGGUUCCUCUUCUCUCUCCCCGGGGAUCUGGACCUCAGGCGGCCAGGGAUAGUGACUGGAGCUACAGCCGAAGCGCUUCAGGGAAAGACGGGCCAGUACCCGCCGGGAACCCUUCUCUCAGCUAGUCCCCAGUUUCCCUCUCCACGCGGGAGGGGCAGAGCGGGAGGGGGUGGGGCCAUCCCGCCUUUGGCUCCACCCCCUCCGUUUCCUCCACUUGUUGGCGCUUAGGAGCUCCACCUAUUUCCUAUGGCCUUGCCAUUUCCUCUAAGGGGAGUCCAGGAAACCAAGCUAUAGCUGAUAUAUCUCUGCCCAUUCAGGUUCAGGAGUUAGUGACAUUUGAAGAUGUGGCUAUUUACUUCACCUUAAAGGAAUGGAAACUUCUCAUUCUCACUCAAAAGGUCCUUUGUAGGAAUGUGAUGCUGGAGAAUUUUGGAAAUGUGGUUUCAGUGGUGGUUUCUCCAGUUCUGUGGGGUUUGUCCUUGUGGAAAAAGGUAGCUCUGGUAUGUCUUUACUGUCUCAUUAUCCUGCCAGGGAACUUAACU